rnacentral:rRNA from 1 species
CGGAGGAAAAGAAACCANCAGGGAUUGCCUUAGUANCGGCGAGUGAANCGGCAAAAGCUCAAAUUUGAANUCUGGCGCCUUCGGUGUCCGAGUUGUAAUUUGAAGAAGGUAACUUUGGAGUUGGCUCUUGUCUAUGUUCCUUGGANCAGGACGUCNCAGAGGGUGAGAAUCCCGUGCGAUGAGAUGCCCAAUUCUAUGUAAAGUGCUUUCGAAGAGUCGAGUUGUUUGGGAAUGCAGCUCUAAGUGGGUGGUAAAUUCCAUCUAAAGCUAAAUAUUGGCGAGAGACCGAUAGCGAACAAGUACAGUGAUGGAAAGAUGAAAAGAACUUUGAAAAGAGAGUGAAAAAGUACGUGAAAUUGUUGAAAGGGAAGGGCUUGAGAUCAGACUUGGUAUUUUGCGAUCCUUUCCUUCUUGGUUGGGUUCUCCGCAGCUUACUGGGCCAGCAUCGGUUUGGAUGGUAGGAUAAUGAUUAAGGAAUGNGGCUCUACUUCGGUGGAGUGUUAUAGCCUNGGUUGAUACUGCCUNUCUAGACCGAGGAC